GAAUAAGCACCGGCUAACUACGUGCCAGCAGCCGCGGUAAUACGUAGGGUGCAAGCGUUAAUCGGAAUUACUGGGCGUAAAGCGUGCGCAGGCGGUGAUGUAAGACCGAUGUGAAAUCCCCGGGCUCAACCUGGGAACUGCAUUGGUGACUGCAUCGCUUGAGUAUGGCAGAGGGGGGUAGAAUUCCACGUGUAGCAGUGAAAUGCGUAGAGAUGUGGAGGAAUACCGAUGGCGAAGGCAGCCCCCUGGGUCAAUACUGACGCUCAUGCACGAAAGCGUGGGGAGCAAACAGGAUUAGAUACCCUGGUAGUCCACGCCCUAAACGAUGUCAACUGGUUGUCGGGUCUUCAUUGACUUGGUAACGUAGCUAACGCGUGAAGUUGACCGCCUGGGGAGUACGGUCGCAAGAUUAAAACUCAAAUGAAUUGACGG
rnacentral:rRNA from 1 species